rnacentral:rRNA from 1 species
GAUGAACGCUGGCGGCGUGCCUAAUACAUGCAAGUCGAGCGAACAGACAAGGAGCUUGCUCCUCUGACGUUAGCGGCGGACGGGUGAGUAACACGUGGAUAACCUACCUAUAAUACUGGUAUAACUUCGGGAAACCGGCGCUAAUACCGUAUAAUAUAUUGAACCGCAUGGUUCAAUAGUGAAAUACGGUUUUGCUGUCACUUAUAGAUGGAUCCGCGCCGCAUUAGCUAGUUGGUAAGGUAACGGCUUACCAAGGCAACGAUGCGUAGCCGACCUGAGAGGGGGAUAGGCGACACGGGAACUGGGACACGGUCAAGACGACUACGGGAGGCAGCAGUAGGGAAUCGGACGCAAUGGGCGAAAGCCUGACGGAGCAACGCCGCGUGAGUGAUGAAGGUCUUCGGAUCGGAAAACUCUGUUAUGAGGGAAGAACAAAUGUGGAAGUAACUAUGCACUUAUUGACGGUACCUAAUAAGAAAGCCACGGCUAACUACGUG